rnacentral:rRNA from 1 species
UGAGGAAUAUUGGUCAAUGGCCGGGGAGGCUGAACCAGCCAAGUCGCGUGAGGGAUGACGGUCCUAUGGAUUGUAAACCUCUUUUGUCGGGGAGCAAAAGGCAUCACGUGUGAUGCUCCGAGAGUACCCGAAGAAAAAGCAUCGGCUAACUCCGUGCC